rnacentral:rRNA from 1 species
GACGAACGCUGGCGGCGUGCUUAACACAUGCAAGUCGAACGGGAUUUAGUAAACAGAAGCCUCGGUGGAAGAUUACUAAUGAGAGUGGCGAACGGGUGAGUAACGCGUGAGCAACCUGCCUAUGACAGUGGGAUAGCCUCGGGAAACCGGGAUUAAUACCGCAUAAAAUCGUAGAAACACAUGUUUUAACGGUCAAAGAUUUAUCGGUCAUAGAUGGGCUCGCGUCUGAUUAGCUAGUUGGUGAGAUAACAGCCCACCAAGGCGACGAUCAGUAGCCGGUCUGAGAGGAUGAACGGCCACAGUGGAACUGAGACACGGUCCAAACUCCUACGGGAGGCAGCAGUGGGGAAUAUUGCACAAUGGGGGAAACCCUGAUGCAGCGACGCCGCGUGAACGAAGAAGGUAUUCGUAUCGUAAAGUUCUGUCCUAUGGGAAGAUAAUGACAGUACCAUAGAAGAAAGCUCCGGCUAAAUACGUG